GAUGAACGCUGGCGGCGUGCCUAAUACAUGCAAGUCGAGCGAACAGACGAGGAGCUUGCUCCUCUGACGUUAGCGGCGGACGGGUGAGUAACACGUGGAUAACCUACCUAUAAGACUGGGAUAACUUCGGGAAACCGGAGCUAAUACCGGAUAAUAUAUUGAACCGCAUGGUUCAAUAGUGAAAGACGGUUUUGCUGUCACUUAUAGAUGGAUCCGCGCCGCAUUAGCUAGUUGGUAAGGUAACGGCUUACCAAGGCAACGAUGCGUAGCCGACCUGAGAGGGGGAUCGGCCACACUGGAACUGAGACACGGUCCAGACUCCUACGGGAGGCAGCAGUAGGGAAUCUUCCGCAAUGGGCGAAAGCCUGACGGAGCAACGCCGCGUGAGUGAUGAAGGUCUUCGGAUCGGAAAACUCUGUUAUUAGGGAAGAACAAAUGUGUAAGUAACUAUGCACGGCUUGACGGUACCUAAUCAGAAAGCCACGGCUAACUACGUG
rnacentral:rRNA from 1 species